UACGUAGGGUGCAAGCGUUUGUCCGGAAUUAUUGGGCGUAAAGAGCUCGUAGGCGGUUUGUCGCGUCUGCUGUGAAAACCCGAGGCUCAACCUCGGGCCUGCAGUGGGUACGGGCAGACUAGAGUGCGGUAGGGGAGAUUGGAAUUCCUGGUGUAGCGGUGGAAUGCGCAGAUAUCAGGAGGAACACCAAUGGCGAAGGCAGAUCUCUGGGCAUUAACUGACGCUGAGGAGCGAAAGCAUGGGGAGCGAACAGG
rnacentral:rRNA from 1 species